GAUGAACGCUGGCGGCGUGCCUAAUACAUGCAAGUCGAGCGAACAGACGAGGAGCUUGCUCCUCUGACGUUAGCGGCGGACGGGUGAGUAACACGUGGAUAACCUACCUAUAAGACUGGGAUAACUUCGGGAAACCGGAUCUAAUACCGGAUAAUAUAUUGAACCGCAUGGUUCAAUAGUGAAAGACGGUUUUGCUGGAACUUAUAGAGGGAUCCGAGCCGCAUGAGCUAGUUGGUAAGGUAACGGCUUACCAAGGCAACGAUGCGUAGCCGACCUGAGAGGGUGAUCGGCCACACUGGAACUGAGACACGGUCCAGACACCGACGGGAGGCAGCAGUAGGGAAUCUUACGCAAUGGGCGAAAGCCUGACGGAGCAACGCCGCGUGAGUGAUGAAGGUCUUCGGAUCGUAAAACUCUGUUAUUAGGGAAGAACAAAUGUGUAAGUAACUAUGCACGUCUUGACGGUACCUAAUCAGAAAGCCACGGCUAACUACGUG
rnacentral:rRNA from 1 species